rnacentral:lncRNA from 1 species
AUAUAAAUUACCAAUUUGAAGACAUAACAGGUUUAAAUUCAUAAAAGUUUGACCAUUGUUACUACACGUUGUUAUGGUUGUGACGUGACGUUGUAAGUAGGCGGGUCUUAUAGGUGAGUUGAGGUCAUUGACAUAUAAAGCUAACGUUUAUACGUAUAGCUUUAUCUGUAUAAUAAAAUAGCUGAUUGCAGUAUAAAACAUAUAUCGAAUGACGUUGUUGUUUGGCAUGUUACGUCACAGACGUUGAGCUGUCGUAUUUUCCGGCAUAUGAAAUGCAACCUUGAAAAACGGUCGGCAGCAAGAGGGUUAAGUAA